CAAAAUAGAAAGAAAAAACACAGAGGAGAGAAACAAAAGACCAUCCCUUGCUUUUUGCCUUGCUAGCCUGCUGCGUUAUUGUCGGAUGCCCGUGAAAUCUUGCACUCUAACUCUGAAUCUGAUUCAAUUUCAGAAAAAGGAGCAAGAUAUUGCUAAUGCCAUGAUACUUGUUGAAGUAGCAAAACAAAGGCUUCAAGAGUUAAGAGUUGAUGGAUGGGAUCCACUUAAAAUAAGUUGCCACUGCAACCGUUGAAAGAGUUUUUUCUGCAAUGAAGUUUAUCAAGAAUGACUUAUGGAAUCAAAUGGAUGAUGAAUUUUUGGACGGUUGCAUAGUGCCUUAUGUAGAAAAAAAAGUAUUUCGUACUAUUUCUAAUGAGGUUAUUAUAAAAAUAUUUCAAGAGAUGAGACCUC